CCCGCCCGGAGCGCGGAGCACGCCGCCUCUCCGCGCACCAGCAUGGCACCUCAUGCGAGCACCGCCGCCAAAGUUUCCCCGCGAGGGGCUGAGGGACAAAAGCCCCUCUCGAAACUCGCCCGAAGUUAGGGGGGCCCGGCCCACACGGCCCUCCGCCCGGCGGCCGCCCCGAGCGCCGGCGGGGCCCGCACGGGCACAUGCAGCUCUUUGUUUUCUGUCCAGCCGGGCGCUGCCUACGUGCAGCAUCAGGGAUGUCGGAUUGUUUCUCAGAGGCGAGACACUUGACGAUCACCCCGGGGAGAGGUCCAGACCCCGCGCCCCGAGAGUCCGGAGCCUCUCCCCCCGUCCUCCCCUCAGCAGCAGGCCCAUUUAAUCAAAGUUUUGCAGUGUCCUUGAUGAGAAACGCCGAUUGCCCGCCCCGCAUCAGCGGAGAGUUGGCGACUUUCACUCUGCUUUUUAAACUGGCAAGACGCCAUCAUCAGCAAAUCACAUUGUCCUGCCGGCCGGCCCCGACAGCGCCCGCAUCUCGCUGCCGGCCCGGAUCUGGACACUCACACAGACCUCCGGCAAAAACCAGGGUCGCAGCCCCUAGCACGUGGUCUGUCAUGUAGAGCACAAAAAGCAGUGCCCUCCGGAGUUCUCUCACUCCUUCGGCGCAGACAACGCCGUUGCCUCCAUCCCCAAGUCAACUUGGCUAUGACUGGCCAUCUUAAGCCGCACACAGUCGCCUCAGAAAGCCCUCACCGUGGCGCCCACGUCUACGCUACAGGCGCAGGGGGGCUGCAACGAAACUAAACCACGAGGUUCAACCACGGCGCCCGACCACUCCCGAGGCGCGCGCCCACGCGGAUGCACCGGCCCGGGGCCCCUUCGCGAUUGCCAGCAAGUCGUUUUCCUCUUGGGCCUUCCAGCCACCCGCCUCCUUUUCGCCAGAGAACACUACGGCUAAGAAAAGUCAUUGUCACCUUCAACGUGGAUCCCUCAACUCCGGCGACUCCUCAGUCGUUUGCAGCCUCCACUCACUUCCCCCACCCCAAGACUUUCGGUUUGCCUCCACUACCCUACCCAAUUAGAAAAGGCAAACUAAACGUGUAUACAAAAGAACCCGGGGUCUGAAGAUCACGACAACAUUGCUCCCAGCAAUGCCAUCUCCAAGACAAAACUUCCUGUGCGUGCGUGUGUAUGUGUGCGUGUGUGUGUGUGGAAGGACUGGGGGUGGGGGGGAAGGUGAAAAGAGAAAAAAAAAAAACACACUCUGAAAUCAAAGCCUCGUGAGACAGUUUUGCACCAGAGUAAUGGUUAGAGUCACUCACCUUCCAAAAUCAGCCGUUCCACGCACAAUAACGUUCCCGAGGUCUGGAGUGCACGCCAAGCCAGCCCCCCCCCCCUUCUAAUCGCUCCCUCCUCCUCAACUGCCUUGUCUAGAAAGAUUGUCUCCUGCAGUUCUGCAGUUGCUACCGCUGGCCGGGAAGGUGUAGAUUCCGCUUUCCCUCUGCGCACGCGCGUCUCCUGGUACAAAAUUCUCCUGAAUCGAACUUAUUUGCAUACGGGCGCGCGCGCGUUGAGGGCUGGGAGGGGAGAAGGCCCGGCGGCCGCGCGCGCUCCCGGGGCCUCUAUUGUCCUUUUAAGGGGAGAAGCGCCGCGGCGCGGGAAACGAGGCGGCCAGAGGGAAACGGGGGCGGGGACUGCUUACUACGGCUGACGUCACGUAAACAAACGCCCCCUGGCUGGAGGCUGCGGCGAAGGGGGAGUGGCGGGUGGGAAAGGCGGAAAGGUUAGCAGUCUAGGGAGAACGUUCGGCUGCUUGACUUGCUUUCCACCCUGAAGUUCUUGGGGCGCACCAUUUCGCAUCGAAAAAUAGUUUUGGAAGCUGUUUUUGCAAAAUUCUCACACCUAUGCCCAGUUUUUGGCUUGAGGCGACAGGGGAGGUGGUCUUGCAAGCACCCAGACGGAAUUUAUGCCUCCUACAU